UAUCGGACUCCGUUCAUAGCGGUCCAGUAACUCGUUUCGAUUGGUUCAGCUGUUCUGGAACUAAUGGCGCUGUCGGAUUUUGAGUUUGACGCACGGAUUUCGAGAAAAUCCAAAAAUACAUGUUUUAUAUGUAUUUAUGUGUUAUUUCUUCUGUUGGAAAGAAAGAUUGGAUUGUGUCAUGAAUCCGUGGUCGAUCGAGGUGAAACUAAAUCGCAGCUUUGUUGUCUCCGUCGUGCUGAUUGCACUGGUGCAAUCCGUUCGCAAAUCUGACGGACAGAUCUGCGGAGAUUGUGCGUUGAUCGAGGAGAGGUUGGUAAUGGCAAAACAGUAUUUUCGCAAAAGUCGCGAUAUUUUAUGUACCGUUUCGCGUGAGAUCGCACGUGGAGGGGUAUCCGUGCAUUUUACUCGUGCUGUGAGGGA
rnacentral:lncRNA from 1 species